rnacentral:rRNA from 1 species
AACGAACGCUGGCGGCAGGCCUAACACAUGCAAGUCGAGCGAGGACUUCGGUCCUAGCGGCGGACGGGUGCGUAACGCGUGGGAACGUGCCCUUUGCUUCGGAAUAGCCCUGGGAAACUGGGAGUAAUACCGGAUGAGCCCCUUGGGGGAAAGAUUUAUCGGCGAAGGAUCGGCCCGCGUUGGAUUAGGGAGUUGGUGGGGUAAUGGCCUACCAAGCCGACGAUCCAUAGCUGGUUUGAGAGGAUGAUCAGCCACACUGGGACUGAGACACGGCCCAGACUCCUACGGGAGGCAGCAGUGGGGAAUCUUAGACAAUGGGGGAAACCCUGAUCUAGCCAUGCCGCGUGAGCGAUGAAGGCCUUAGGGUUGUAAAGCUCUUCCAGCUGGGAAGAUAAUGACGGUACCAGCAGAAGAAGCCCCGGCUAACUCCGUG